GCGCGGGGUGGGUGACAGACCUGGCCGCGCGCCACCACCACCGCGCCUGCCGGGGGCGCUGAAGCUGCCUGAGAAAGAAGCCACGGCUGCCGCCUGGAGGAGGUGCCGUAGCGCCCGCCACCGCUGCCGCCGCCGCCAGGGCAUGGACUUCACUGCAUCUCUCUCUGGUUGACCUCCAAUUCCAAAAUCUGCCUGCUUCAGCCUCCAGGAACUGAGAUAACACCAGCCUGCUCAUCCCUUACUCUAUGGAGGUGCCCUGAAGCAAUUCCUACAUGAUUCUUACACAUGCCACAUUUAGAAUCAUCUGAGGAGUGUUAGCCCAACCUUUGCCCUAAGUCUCUCCUGAAGCUAAGUAAAUCUGGAGAAUGGAGCGUAAAAGGGUGAAGUUCGGUGAAGAAGCUGCUGACCUGAGUGACGAGAUGCUUGGCUGCACGGGUGUCCUGUGGCUGAGGAGGGAAGCUUAGAGCCUGUGUCAUCAACUCUGUGAAAACAUGGGACACUGCCAGACAUAGAUGCACAUUGUCUGAGAAGGCUGGCCUCUAACUCAACGAUUGUGUAGACAACAGAAUAUCCAUAUCUAGAUUAUAUGUGUAAAGAACUUAUAAAAAUCAGUUAUGUUUUGUUUCUUGGUUUGUUUGGCUUUUUUCCGAUUGGUGUUAAUACUAUAGCCCAAAAAAAAAAAAAAAAAAA
rnacentral:sRNA from 1 species